AUCUGAUCUGAUCCGUUCGUAAGCCGCAACCAGGUUGUCAACCUUAUGCCAUUUCAGAAAAGACCCAAUGAACCCAAUAAUAGGUUCGCCAAAAUCGCUGGUGCAAUAGGUGAGUCGGGUAUAAUCGAUGUUCUGGUGGAUCCCAAACUUGUCAUCAAGACCGUAUUCCUUCAUUAGGAACUCCUUUACCGGAUUUGAAUACACAACGAUCUUACUCGCUUGCUUAAGCGCUUCUGUCUCAUAGGUCUCGAUCUUCUCAAAAAAAGGAGGCUUGACACCAUGAAAGAACUCAUACGACUCUAUCAUCGGCGCAUCGUAGAUCUGGAUCAAUUUCGCGCCGGUCUGCUUGGCCAGCUCUGUCCCAACACUGGACCCGUAGCUAUAGAAUUCCAGUAUGAGA
rnacentral:rRNA from 1 species